rnacentral:rRNA from 1 species
AUUGAACGCUGGCGGCAGGCCUAACACAUGCAAGUCGAGCGGAGCGGCGGACGGGUGAGUAAUGCAUAGGAAUCUGCCUGGUAGUGGGGGAUAACGUCCGGAAACGGGCGCUAAUACCGCAUACUAUCAGAUGAGCCUAGGUCGUAUUAGCUAGUUGGUGGGGUAAAGGCCUACCAAGGCGACUAUCCGUAACUGGUCGGAGAGGAGGAUCAGUCACACUGGAAGUGUGACAAGUUCCAGACUCCGACGGGAGGCAGCAGCGGGGAAUAUUGGACAAUGGGCGAAAGCCUGAUCCAUCCAUGCGGGGGGUGUGAAGAAGGUCUUCGGAUUGUAAAGCACUUUAAGUUGGGAGGCGUUACCAACAGAAGAAGCACCGGCUAACUCCGUGCCAGCAGCCGCGGUAAUAC